AUUGAACGCUGGCGGCAUGCCUUACACAUGCAAGUCGAACGGUAACAGGUCUUCGGAUGCUGACGAGUGGCGAACGGGUGAGUAAUACAUCGGAACGUGCCUAGUAGGGGGGGAUAACUACGCGAAAGAGUGGCUAAUACCGCAUGAGAUCUACGGAUGAAAGCAGGGGAUCGCAAGACCUUGUGCUACUAGAGCGGCCGAUGGCAGGUUAGGUAGUUGGUGGGAUAAAAGCUUACCAGGCCGACGAUCUGUAGCUGGUCUGAGAGGACGAUCAGCCACACUGAGACUGAGACACGGCCCAGACUCCUACGGGAGGCAGCAGUGGGGAAUUUUGGACAAUGGGCGCAAGCCUGAUCCAGCAAUGCCGCGUGCAGGAUGAAGGCCUUCGGGUUGUAAACUGCUUUUGUACGGAACGAAAAGCCCUGGGUUAAUACCCUGGGGUCAUGACGGUACCGUAAGAAUAAGCACCGGCUAACUACGUGCCAGCCGCCGCUGUAACAC
rnacentral:rRNA from 1 species